rnacentral:rRNA from 1 species
UACGGGGGGAGCAAGCGUUGUUCGGAUUUACUGGGCGUAAAGGGCGCGUAGGCGGUAGCACAAGUCAGUUGUGAAAUCUCCGGGCUUAACUCGGAAAGGUCAACUGAUACUGUGCGACUAGAGUGCAGAAGGGGCAACUGGAAUUCUUGGUGUAGCGGUGAAAUGCGCAGAUAUCAGGAAGAACACCCGUGGCGAAGGCGGCUCUCUGGGACGGUACUGACGCUGAGACGCGAAAGCGUGGGGAGCGAACAGG